rnacentral:rRNA from 1 species
GAUGAACGCUGGCGGCGUGCCUAAUACAUGCAAGUCGAGCGGUAACAUGUUUCUCACCGAGGUUCGAAGACAAUGGUCAAGUAGCAAUAUUCAAUACUCAAUGAAUGGUCAAUGCAGCUGAUGCAUUGAAUGAUUAAAUCAUUAAUACAUUCAUUGAAAAUUGACACUUGAACAUUGAGCAUUUUCGAUCUUUAGUGAGAAGUGAUGACGAGCGGCGGACGGCUGAGUAACGCGUAGGAACGUACCUCAAAGUGAGGGAUAACUGCCCGAAAGGGUAGCUAAUACCGCAUGUGAUCUACGGAUUAAAGCUUUAUGCGCUUUGAGAACGGCCUGCGUCUGAUUAGCUUGUUGGUGAGGUAAAAGCUCACCAAGGCGACGAUCAGUAGCUGGUCUGAGAGGAUGAUCAGCCAGAC